GUUACCACGAGAACCAAAGGAAAACAGAGGUAUAAAUCACCUCUGUUAUGGUAAGGAUGCAGUUUGACAGAUAGGACUGGUAGUGGAAUUAUUAAGAGGGAGUUGCAGUUGGAAAGCAGAGGUAUAAAUCACCUCUGUUAUAUGCCAGUUUUGAUGAGAUGGCAAUCACAGUAGUGAGCUGUCCCAGAAUCAGUGCAACGUUUGUCCAUUUAUCAGUUUUAAGCCUUGAAGCAGAAUAACCUUUGGAGUCCCUUUAUUAGUCUUGUUGACAUUACUAUUUAGCAUCUGUGUCUGAUUUAUGUGCCAAGGGGCUAAUGAAGCAGGUUCGGUUGCAUUGGCUGAGGUAGCAGGAGGCAAAGGCUGCUGGUUUUGAAUGAAGUUGGUGCAAAAUACACACAAGAAAG
rnacentral:lncRNA from 1 species